UCGGAGCUCGGCAUACUGCUCAGUAACACGUGGAUAACCUGCCCUGUGCUCCGGGAUAACCUCGGGAAACUGAGAAUAAUACCGGAUAGUCCACCACGCCUGGAACGGUGGGUGGAUCAAAGGUCACGGCACAGGAUGGGUCUGCGGCGUAUCAGGUUGUAGGGGGUGUAAAGGACCCCCUAGCCAUUGACGCGUACGGGUUGUGGGAGCAAUCGCCCGGAGAUGGAUUCUGAGACACGAAUCCAGACCCUACGGGGUGCAGCAGGCGCGAAAACUUCACACUGCAGGAAACUGUGAUGAGGGAACUCCAAGUGCAUGCACAAUGUGUAUGCUCUUCCUAACUUUUAAUCGGUUAGGGAAUAAGGGCUGGGAAAGACCGGUGCCAGCCGCCGCGGUAAUACCGGCAGCUCAAGUGGUCGUCGCUUUUAUUGGGCCUAAAACGUCCGUAGCCUGUUUGGUAAAUCUGUGGGUAAAUCAACCAGCUUAACUG
rnacentral:rRNA from 1 species